rnacentral:rRNA from 1 species
AUUGAACGCUGGCGGCAUGCCUAACACAUGCAAGUCGAACGGCAGCAUGAAUAGGGGUAACCUUAUUUGAUGGCGAGUGGCGGACGGGUGAGUAAUAUGUAGGAAUCUACCUAGAGGAGGGGGAUAACUUGGGGAAACCCAAGCUAAUACCACAUAAGCCCUACGGGGGAAAGCAGGGGAUCGAAAGACCCUGCGCCUUAUGAUGAGCAUACAUCGGAUUAGCUAGUUGGUGGGGUAAAGGCCUACCAAGGCGACGAUCCGUAGCUGGUCUGGGAGGAUGAUCAGCCACACUGGGACUGAGACACGGCCCAGACUCCUACGGGAGGCAGCAGUGGGGAAUAUUGGACAAUGGGCGAAAGCCUGAUCCAGCAAUGCCGCGUGUGUGAAGAAGGCCUUAGGGUUGUAAAGCACUUUCAGUAGGGAGGAAGGUUGUAAUGCUAAUAUCAUUGCAAAUUGACGUUACCUACAGAAGAAGCACCGGCUAACUCUGUGCCAGCAGCCGCCGUAA